AUAUCAGUCAUGCAUAGCAUAUCAAUAAGCGGAGGAAAAGAAACUAACAAGGAUUCCCUUAGUAACGGCGAGUGAAGCGGGAAGAGCUCAAAUUUGAAAUCUUCAAGGUUUUACCUUGACGAAUUGUAGUUUAAAGAAGUGUUUUCUGUUGAAGUUUUGGUAAAAGUUCUUUGGAAUAGGACAUCAUAGAGGGUGAGAAUCCCGUAUUUGACCAUUACUUUCAGCUUUGUGAUACACUUUCAAAGAGUCGGAUUGUUUGGGAAUGCAGUCCAAAAUGGGUGGUAAAUUUCAUCUAAAGCUAAAUAUUGGCGAGAGACCGAUAGCGAACAAGUACCGUGAGGGAAAGAUGAAAAGAACUUUGAAAAGAGAGUUAAACAGUACGUGAAAUUGUCAAAAGGGAAGCGUUUGACACCAGUGUUGUUUUCUCGAAAAUCAAUUAAAAAGAGUUGGAUUUUGUGUUGUAUUGACUUUAUCAGCUUUCUUCACUCUUUUCCAGCUUUUUUAAUGCACUUUUCGUUUAACAAGUCAACAUCAGUUUCUUUUGUUGUAAAAAGGUCAUUGGAAGGUGGCUUUCUCUUCGGAGAAAGUGUUUAUAGCCUUUGACUCAUGCAAUCGGAGAGACUGAGGUCUGCAGCGUAGAUCCUUCGGUGUUAGAUACAUUUGUGCUAAGUUAUAGCUUUUCAUAGACAACUUGUUGACUAUGUUUAGUCUUGUAGCUUACUCGCUUAUGCUAUUUUACCUACGCUUAGGAUGUUGAACUCUAUCACACACAG
rnacentral:rRNA from 1 species